rnacentral:rRNA from 1 species
UACCAGCACCCCGAGUGGUCGGGACGAUUAUUGGGCCUAAAGCAUCCGUAGCCGGUUCUACAGGUCUUCCGUUAAAUCCACCUGCUUAACCGAUGGGCUGCGGAGGAUACUAUAGAGCUAGGAGGCGGGAGAGGCAAGCGGUACUUAGUGGGUAGGGGUAAAAUCCGUUGAUCCAGUGAAGACCACCAGUGGCGAAGGCGGCUUGCCAGAACGCACUCGACGGUGAGGGAUGAAAGCUGGGGGAACAAACCGG